CCACCACUAAGCCAGUGGUGAACUCCACAUCCGCAUCCUUUGCUGAGGAUACGGUUAACGGAGCGAAAGCGACGUUCAACCGCAAAACAAGCAGAGGGGGCUUAGUGGUGGGGUGACUGCGUACCUUUUGUAUAAUGGGUCAGCGACUUAUAUUCUGUAGCAAGGUUAACCGAAUAGGGGAGCCGGAGGGAAACCGAGUCUUAAUUGGGCGUUAAGUUGCAGGGUAUAGACCCGAAACCCGGUGAUCUAGCCAUGGGCAGGUUGAAGGUUGGGUAACACUAACUGGAGGACCGAACCGACUAAUGUUGAAAAAUUAGCGGAUGACCUGUGGCUGGGGGUGAAAGGCCAAUCAAACCGGGAGAUAGCUGGUUCUCCCCGAAAGCUAUUUAGGUAGCGCCUCGUGAAUUCAUCUCCGGGGGUAGAGCACUGUUUCGGCUAGGGGGCCAUCCCGGCUUACCAACCCGAUGCAAACUGCGAAUACCGGAGAAUGUUAUCACGGGAGACACACGGCGGGUGCUAACGUCCGUCGUGAAGAGGGAAACAACCCAGACCGCCAGCUAAGGUCCCAAAGUCAUGGUUAAGUGGGAAACGAUGUGGGAAGGCCCAGACAGCCAGGAUGUUGGCUUAGAAGCAGCCAUCAUUUAAAGAAAGCGUAAUAGCUCACUGGUCGAGUCGGCCUGCGCGGAAGAUGUAACGGGGCUAAACCAUGCACCGAAGCUGCGGCAGCGAACGUAUCACCCAAGACAACUUUACGGAGUUGACGAUUGACGGAGCGAAGCGACGUCAAAGCGUUCAUUAAAGUCGAGUUGGCUUAGGGAUACGUUCGUUGGGUAGGGGAGCGUUCUGUAAGCCUGUGAAGGUGUGUCGUGAGGCAUGCUGGAGGUAUCAGAAGUGCGAAUGCUGACAUAAGUAACGAUAAAGCGGGUGAAAAGCCCGCUCGCCGGAAGACCAAGGGUUCCUGUCCAACGUUAAUCGGGGCAGGGUGAGUCGACCCCUAAGGCGAGGCCGAAAGGCGUAGUCGAUGGGAAACGGGUUAAUAUUCCCGUACUUGGUGUUACUGCGAAGGGGGGACGGAGAAGGCUAUGUUGGCCGGGCGACGGUUGUCCCGGUUUAAGCGUGUAGGUGUGUGUUCCAGGUAAAUCCGGUUCACUUUAACACUGAGGCGUGACGACGAGGCACUACGGUGCUGAAGCAACAAAUGCCCUGCUUCCAGGAAAA
rnacentral:rRNA from 1 species